GCCUUCAUGGUGUAAUGGUCGGCACACUCGGCGUGUAUUCAAGAGGUCCGAGGUUCGAGUCCCGGGGAGGGCA
rnacentral:tRNA from 1 species